rnacentral:rRNA from 1 species
GACGAACGCUGGCGGCGUGCCUAAUACAUGCAAGUAGAACGCACAGUUUAUACCGUAGCUUGCUACACCAUAGACUGUGAGUUGCGAACGGGUGAGUAACGCGUAGGUAACCUGCCUGGUAGCGGGGGAUAACUAUUGGAAACGAUAGCUAAUACCGCAUAAUAUUAAUUAUUGCAUGAUAAUUAAUUGAAAGGUGCAAUUGCACCACUACCAGAUGGACCUGCGUUGUAUUAGCUAGUAGGUGAGGUAACGGCUCACCUAGGCGACGAUACAUAGCCGAACUGAGAGGGGGAUCGGCCAAACUGGGAAUGAGACACGGCCCAGACUCCUACGGGAGGCAGCAGUAGGGAAUCUUCGGCAAUGGACGAAAGUCUGACCGAGCAACGCCGCGUGAGUGAAGAAGGUUGUCGGAUCGUAAAGCUCUGUUGUAAGAGAAGAACGGGUGUGAGAGUGGAAAGUUCACACUGUGACGGUAUCUUACCAGUAAGGGACGGCUAACUACGUG